rnacentral:rRNA from 1 species
GACGAACGCUGGCGGCGGGCUUAACACAUGCAAGUCGAACGGAAAGGCACUGCUUUCUUGCUGUUCUGGAGUGGCGAACGGGUGAGUAACACGUGAGUAACCUGCUCUUGUCUUUGGGAUAACUUCAGGUAACUGGGGCUAAUCUCGUACAGCAGCUGCUGUUCGAGGGAGGGGGUUGGAAAGUUUCGGCUGUCGGGGUUGGACUCGCGGCUUUUCGGUUAGUUGGUGGGGUAGUGGCUUACCAAGGCUUUGACGGGUAGCCGGCCUGAGAGGGUGACCGGCCACCAUGGGACUGAGAUACGGCCCAGACUCCUACGGGAGGCAGCAGUGGCGAAUAUUACACAACGGGCGCAAGCGUGAUACAGCAGCGCCGCGUUUGGGAAGACGGUCUUUGGGUUGAAAACCGCUUUCGGCUGAGACGAAGCGUGGCUGACGGUAAUGGGUAAAGAAGCACCGGCUAACUACGUG